AACCGACACAGGUAGGCGAGGAGAGAAUCCUAAGGUGUGCGAGAGAACUCUCGUUAAGGAACUCGGCAAAAUGACCCCGUAACUUCGGGAGAAGGGGUGCUUUUUAGGGUGAAUAGCCCAGAAAAGCCGCAGUGAAUAGGCCCAGGCGACUGUUUAGCAAAAACACAGGUCUCUGCGAAGCCGCAAGGCGAAGUAUAGGGGCUGACACCUGCCCGGUGCUGGAAGGUUAAGGGGAGAGGUUAGCGCAAGCGAAGCUUUGAACCGAAGCCCCAGUAAACGGCGGCCGUAACUAUAACGGUCCUAAGGUAGCGAAAUUCCUUGUCGGGUAAGUUCCGACCCGCACGAAAGGUGUAACGAUCUGGGCACUGUCUCAACGAGAGACUCGGUGAAAUUAUAGUACCUGUGAAGAUGCAGGUUACCCGCGACAGGACGGAAAGACCCCGUGGAGCUUUACUGCAGCCUGAUAUUGAAUUUUGGUACAGCUUGUACAGGAUAGGUAGGAGCCUGAGAAGCCGGAGCGCCAGCUUCGGUGGAGGCGUUGGUGGGAUACUACCCUGGCUGUAUUGAAAUUCUAACCCGCGCCCCUUAUCGGGGUGGGAGACAGUGUCAGGUGGGCAGUUUGACUGGGGCGGU
rnacentral:rRNA from 2 species